rnacentral:rRNA from 1 species
GAUGAACGCUGGCGGCGUGCUUAACACAUGCAAGUCGAACGGACAGGCCUCUUUCGGGGGGUACUCGCGUGGCGAACGGGCGAGUGACUCGCGAGUAACUUGCCUUUGUCUUUGGGUUAACUUCCGGCGACUGGCGGUAGUACCGGCUAGGUGCUACAGCUGACCGCAGGGGGCUGGAAUGUUUCGGCGGUUGGGGGUGGCCUGGCGGGGUAUCCGCUUGUUGGUGGGAUGAUGGCUUACCAAGGCCUUGCCGUGAAGCCGGUCAGUGGGAGUGAGCGGCGGUAUUGGGACUGAGAUGCGGCACAAGCACCUACGGGAGGCAGCAGGGGGGAAUAUUGCACAAUGGGUGGAAGCCUGAUGCAGCAGCGCCGCGGGCGGGAUGACGCCCUUAGGGUUGAAAACCGCUUUCGCUCAUGACGAAGCUUGGUGUGACGGUAGUGGGUAAAAAAGCACCGGCUAACUACGUG